rnacentral:lncRNA from 1 species
GUCUGGGGAGGAGUUUUAAAGGGGUUUCUAAGAUAGGAAAGCGUGAAGUCUUAUUAUUGUACAGAAAGAUUGUAUCUACUCAGAGGGAUGAGAGUAAUCACAAAUACACAGUGGUUAUUACACCCAUUAUAUAGAAAAUGAAACUGAGGCUCAGAAACCUCAUAUAGUUCCCCUAGAGAUACACAAUUGUUAGUGCUGAAAUGUGAACUCAAACCUUCAGACGUGAAGCUGGAAAUGAAUUUCCUUGGCUUCGAUGUCUCCAUCUCAAAAAUGACUGUAUUUUUGGGAAGGUUGCUUCAGAGUCCACGUUCUAUUGGCCAUUCCACUGAUUCCGCAUCUCCUUGACAAAUGAAUCUUGGGCCAAAAGUUCAUUGUGGGGACGCUGUUCUUCCAUGAGAGCAGGAAGCAGAUCUAUCUUACUGAGGACACUCCUGGUGCCAAACUAUCUGGGGAAGAGGAAACCAAGAAUCCAGUGCAGUCUUAGAAGAUGGGGGAGUUGCUAAUGGAAGGAACCAGUUACAUUGGGAGAUUUACAUCAAGAACCAGCACUAUGGA